GAUGAACGCUGGCGGCGUGCCUAAUACAUGCAAGUCGAGCGGACGGACGAGGAGCUUGCUGCUCUGAUGUUAGCGGCGGACGGGAGAGUAACACGUGGAUAACCUACCUAUAAGACGGGGAUAACUUCGGGAAACCGGAGCUAACACCGGAUAAUCUUCUGAACCGCAUGGGUGAAAAGAGAAAGACGGUCUUGCUGUCACUUAUAGAUGGUUCCGGGCUGCAUUAGCUAGUUGGUAAGGUAACGGCUUAUCACGGCAACUAUGCAUAACCGACCUGAGGGGGGGGUAGGCCACACUAGAGCGUGAACACGGUCCAUGCUCCUGCGAGAGGCACCAGUAGGGAAUCGGCCGCAGUAGUCGAAAACCUUACAGAGCAACCCGACGUCUGAGGUAGCAGUCUCGGGAGCGUAAUACUCUGUUAUUAGGGAAAAACAGAUUUGGACGUAGCUGUGCCCAGCUUGACGGUACCGAAUAAGAAAGCCACGGCUAACUACGUG
rnacentral:rRNA from 1 species